rnacentral:rRNA from 1 species
CCAAUAGCGUAUAUUAAAGUUGUUGCAGUUAAAAAGCUCGUAGUUGAAUUUCGGGAUCAAUAUUUCGGUCAUGCCGUUGGUAUGCACUGUUAUCAUUGAUUUCUCACCUUCUAAAGAACCGUAAUGCCAUUAAUUUGGUGUUACGGGGAAUUAGGACUGUUACCUUGAAAAAAUUAGAGUGUUUAAAGCAGGCUCACGCUUGAAUACAUUAGCAUGGAAUAAUGAAAUAGGACAUCCGAUUCUAUUUUGUUGGUUUCUAGGAUCGAUGUAAUGAUUAAUAGGGAUAGUUGUGGGCAUUAGUAUUCAAUUGUCAGAGUUGAAAUUCUUGGAUUUAUUGAAGACUAACUACUGCGAAAGCAUUUGCCAAGGAUGUUUUCAUUAAUCAAGAACGAAAGUUAGGGGAUCGAAGACGAUCAGAUACCGUCGUAGUCUUAACCAUAAACUAUGCCGACUAGGGAUCGGAUGAUGUUAAUUUUUUAAUGACUCAUUCGGCGCCUUACG